UGUCCGGGUUCCUGUAUCCACAGGAGGAGGCGCCGUUAGAGCGCCGGGAGCCCAGAGCCCUGGGGCGGAGGGGUCACCCAGCCCCACGCGGCGCACCGGCAGAAGGCGUGGCCGCCCAGUCCCCAGUUCCGCGCUUGCUCGGCAGUCACGUUCCGUCUCUUAGGUUGCUCACUCUGGAGGAAGCCAGCCACUAUGUUGUGAGGACACACAUGCAGCCCUGCAGAGAAGCCCACAUAGGGAGAAAGGAAAGCGUCCUGCUGACAGCCAGUGCCAAUUGGACAGCCACAUGAAUGAGCUGCCUUGGAAGUGGAUACUGCAGCCCUGACUGACAUUUGGCUUGCAAUCUUAUGAAAGACCUCAAGGCAAAACUGACCAUCAGAAGCUGUGAUAAAUCAUCAUUAAAUGUUGUUGCUUUAAGCCACAA